UUCUUUCAAAGCAGUAUGGAUAUUCCUUAGAAAACUUCCAGUAUUCCAGUAUAGAAUGGAACCACCAUUUGAUUCAGCUACCACAUUCCUUGGUCUAUACCCAAAGGACUUAAACUCAGCAUACUAUAGUGAUGCAGCCACAUCAAGGUUUAUAGCAGCUCAAUUCACAAUAGCUAAAUUGUGGGAGCAAACUCUAUGCCCUUCAGUAAAUGAAUGGAUAAAGAAACUGUGAGAUAUAUACAUGUAUACACACAUAUGCAAGGAAUAUUACUCAGCAUUAAAAGAGAAUAAAAUUUUGCAGGUAAAUGGAUGGAGUUGCAGAAUACCAUGCUAAGUGAAGUAAGCCAAUCCCCAAAAAACCAAAGGCUGAAUGUUUUCUCUGAUAAGUGGAUGCUGAUCCAUAAUGGGGAAUGGGCAUAGGAAGGAUGAAGGAACUUUGGUCAAAGGAGGGAUGAGUGGGGAUAUGGGGGCAGGACAGAUGUUUUGGAAUGAGAUAAAUAUCAUUAACCCAGGUACAUGUAUGUCUGCACAUACGGUGUGAUGUUACAUCAUGUAUGAUCAGACACAUGAAAAGUUGUGCUACAUUUGUGUACAAUAAAUUGAAAUGCAUACUGCUUUUAUGUAUACCUAAUUUGAAUAAAUAAAUUAAAAAGAAAGAAAUUGACCAAACUGUGGUAUGUACAUACAUGAAUGCACCACCAUGUAAUUCACCUUUAUGUAUAUCUAUUA
rnacentral:lncRNA from 1 species